GAUGAAGAACGUAGUGAAAUGCGAUAAGUAAUGUGAAUUGCAGAAUUCAGUGAAUCAUCGAAUCUUUGAACGCACCUUGCGCCCUUUGGCCAUUCCGAAGGGCAUGCCUGUUUGAGUAUCAUGAACACCUCAACUCUUUAUGGUUUUCCAUGAUGAGCUUGGACUCUGGGGGUUUUGCUGGCUCACAGUCGGCUCCUCUAAAAUGAAUCAGCUUACCAGUGUUUGGUGGGUAUCAUGGGUGUGAUAACUAUCUACGCUUGUGGUUUUUCCACCAGGUAACCUUCAGCAGUGGAGGUUCGCUGGAGCUCAUAGAUGUCUCUCCUCAGUGAGGACAGCCCUUUGAAUGUUUGAUCUCAAAUCAGGUAGGACUACCCGCUGAACUUAAGCAUAUCAAUAAGCGGAGA
rnacentral:misc_RNA from 1 species